GGUAGUUAUUUUAAGAUAAUAGGAAGCAGCAGUAACAGCUGUGUAUAAUGGAACCCAACUAGGUAGUUAUUUUAAGAUAAUAGGAAGCAGCAGUAACAGCUGUGUAUAAUGGAACCCAACUAGGUAGUUAUUUUAAGAUAACAGGAAGCAGCAGUAACAGCUGUGUAUAAUGGAACCCAACUAGGUAGUUAUUUUAAGAUAAUAGGAAGGAGCAGUAACAGCUGUGUGUAAUGGAACCCAACUAGGUAGUUAUUUUAAGAUAAUAGGAAGCAGCAGUAACAGCUGUGUGUAAUGGAACCCAACUAGGUAGUUAUUUUAAGAUAACAGGAAGCAGCAGUAACAGCUGUGUAUAAUGGAACCCAACUAGGUAGUUAUUUUAAGAUAAUAGGAAGCAGCAGUAACAGCUGUGUAUAAUGGAACCCAACUAGGUAGUUAUUUUAAGAUAAUAGGAAGGAGCAGUAACAGCUGUGUAUAAUGGAACCCAACUAGGUAGUUAUUUUAAGAUAAUAGGAAGGAGCAGUAACAGCUGUGUAUAAUGGAACCCAACUAGGUAGUUAUUUUAAGAUAAUAGGAAGCAGCAGUAACAGCUGUGU